rnacentral:tRNA from 3 species
GCUGAUAUAGCUCAGAUUAGGUAGAGCACACUCUUGGUAAGAGUGAGGUCCCCAGUUCAAAACUGGGUAUCAGCA